GCUCCGGUAGCUUAGUGGUUAGAGUGUCCACCUCGGAUGCGGGAGGUCGUGGGUUCGAUCCCCUAUCGAGUCA